rnacentral:rRNA from 1 species
GACGAACGCUGGCGGCGUGCCUAAUACAUGCAAGUCGAACGAAGCUUUUUUAACUGGUGCUUGCACCGACUUAAACAACUGAGUGGCGAACGGGUGAGUAACACGUGGGUAACCUGCCCCAAAGCGGGGGAUAACAUUUGGAAACAGAUGCUAAUACCGCAUAACCACAGAAACCACAUGGUUUCUGUGUCAAAGAUGGUUUCGGCUAUCACUUUGGGAUGGACCCGCGGCGUAUUAGCUAGUUGGUAAGGUGACGGCUUACCAAGGCAAUGAGACAUAGCCGAACUGAGAGGUGGAUCGGCAACAAUGGGACUGAGACACGGCCCAUACUCCUACGGGAGGCAGCAGUAGGGAAUCUGCCACAAUGGGCGCAAGCCUGAUGGAGCAACACCGCGUGAGUGAAGAAGGGUUUCGGCUCGUAAAACUCUGUUGUUAAAGAAGAACGUAUCUAAGAGUAACUGCUUAGGUAGUGACGGUAUUUAACCAGAAAGCCACGGCUAACUACGUGCCAGCAGCCGCCGUAA